GCAAUAUUCAGAAAAAUUAUAUAAUACAUCUGAAUACAUAAAUUAUAUUAGUUAAAAAAAAUAUGAAUAUUUUCGUAGAAUACAACAAGACAGUGAAUACAAUGAAAUACAUGAAAUACAACGAGAUGCAUUGAAAUAAAAUUAAAAGGAGAGACAAUAAAUACAUUAAAAUAGAUGAAAAUAAUGCGAAAUACAUUAAAAUAUAUUAACAGAAAAUUCAAGUUGCUCAGCCCCAAACUUCGUCGUCUCCAUUCCUCUCUUUCUGCACCUACUGUUCGUUCCCUUUUCUUGGAGUGGCGACUGGAGGUUGUUAAUGGAAUGAGCUGCUAUCAUCUUUCUUUUUGGAAUUCAAGGAUGAUGAUCCUCUCUUAGAAAGGUAGGCGAAUGAUCAGGUUUGUGAGAAGUGGAGUGCUGGGCGUUCUUGGAGAAGGGGAAUGGAAGGAGGUUGUUGCUCUCUCAAGAAGGAUGAGAUCUAUCCUCCAUUAAAAGAAUGAAAACGAGAUGUGGCUGCUGGUGGGUGAGAGAUAGGGGAUGGACAGCUUUUUUAGGGGUCCUCAGCUAAAGCUUUUGGUUAGAGACAGGAGAAAUUUGAGUGGAGAGAGAAAAAUAAUACAAAGCUUAUUUUAU
rnacentral:lncRNA from 1 species